GACGAACGCUGGCGGCGUGCUUAACACAUGCAAGUCGAACGGUAAGGCCCUUCGGGGUACACGAGUGGCGAACGGGUGAGUAACACGUGGGUGAUCUGCCCUGCACUUCGGGAUAAGCCUGGGAAACUGGGUCUAAUACCGGAUAGGACCCUGGGAUGCAUGUCUGGGGUGGAAAGCUUUUGCGGUGUGGGAUGGGCCCGCGGCCUAUCAGCUUGUUGGUGGGGUGAUGGCCUACCAAGGCGACGACGGGUAGCCGGCCUGAGAGGGUGGCCGGCCACACUGGGUCGGAGAUACGGCCCAGACUCCUACGGGAGGCAGCAGUGGGGAAUAUUGCACAAUGGGCGCAAGCCUGAUGCAGCGACGCCGCGUGAGGGAUGACGGCCUUCGGGUUGUAAACCUCUUUCAGCACCGACGAAGCGCAAGUGACGGUAGGUGCAGAAGAAGGACCGGCCAACUACGUGCCAGCCGCCGCGGUAA
rnacentral:rRNA from 1 species